rnacentral:tRNA from 1 species
CUUGGCUCAGUCGGUAGAGCGACGCAUUCGUAAUGCGUAGGUCGGGGGUUCGAGUCCCCCA